CUUUCGGCAGAACAAGCAACGACCACCACCAUCGGGUGGUGGUGAGCGACGGCGGCGUAACACAGAACCGGAGAGAGAGAGAGCGGAAAAGGAAAGGGAGCCGCCGCACAUGGCGGCGACGGUGGUUUAUGGCGGCGGUGAACGUCGGCGACAGUAUUUUCUGGUAAACCCUUCUCUCCCAACACUCUUUUCUUUUAAAAAUCUUCCAAAGUUCAGUGGAUAAUCAGCAUGAGAUUUGAUUUUUUUUUUUUUUUUUUUUUUUUCCUUUCUCUGAUGUUGAUGAUGAUGGAUCAUUGUGGAAGAUGACGGUGAUUGGUUGUUGAAGAUAAUGAAGAUGAAGUAGUGGUGCUUGGUGCGGACUUCGGUUCGACAAGGAAACAACAGGCAUGGUUGCGGGUUAACGAGUCAAAUACUCGGGUCAAACCCGAGUCAACUCGGUCAAACCGAGUCGACUCGGCCAACAUUCAAUCAACUCGGUUCGAGUUCUUGUUCACUCAGUCCAGAUUCGGAUUCGGUUUUGAGGAUUAUUUUGGGUUCGGGUCAACGCUCGAGUCAACUCGGGCCAACAACAAGGGUCAACAAAGACAAGUGGUCAGCCGGCUUGAGAUAUAUCAGUUUUGGUUCGAUCAAGGAUGGUCAAUGUUAGGCUCGGUUAGCCGUAGUCGACUCAUUCAGCCAACAAAAAGUCAAACCCGGUUGGCUCGGUCAACACCCGAGUCAACUCGGGUCAACAACGGUCAAACAUGUCAACGCCCGGUCAACUCAGGACCCGGAAUGUCAUAGUUGCACGCUAGCUACUUCAUGUUCUUGGAAUGACACUACGACAUCACGGAAUCACGAUAAGCUAGCUUUGCACAGGAAUGUCAAGGUUGCAUUUUCAAAACUAUGGAACGGUUGGAAUAGGAGAACCCAUGGGAAUUCGAG